rnacentral:tRNA from 1 species
GCUGGGAUGGCCGAACGGCAAGGCGCAGGAUUGCUAAUCCUGUGGGCGCAAGCCCUUGAGAGUUCGAAUCUCUCUCCCAGCG